rnacentral:rRNA from 1 species
UACGGAGGGUGCAAGCGUUAUCCGGAUUUACUGGGUUUAAAGGGUGUGUAGGCGGGCUUUUAAGUCAGUGGUGAAAUCUCCGGGCUCAACCCGGAAACUGCCAUUGAUACUAUUAGUCUUGAAUUCUGUUGAGGUUGGCGGAAUAAGUCAUGUAGCGGUGAAAUGCAUAGAUAUGACUUAGAACACCGAUUGCGAAGGCAGCUAACUAAGCAGAUAUUGACGCUGAGGCACGAAAGCGUGGGGAUCAAACAGG